rnacentral:rRNA from 1 species
GAUGAACGCUGGCGGCGUGCUUAACACAUGCAAGUCGAACGAUGAUCCCUAGCUUGCUGGGGGGAUUAGUGGCGAACGGGUGAGUAACACGUGAGUAACCUGCCCUUGACUCUGGGAUAAGCCUGGGAAACUGGGUCUAAUACUGGAUAUGACUGACUAUCGCAUGGUGGUUGGUGGAAAGCUUUUGUGGUUUUGGAUGGACUCGCGGCCUAUCAGCUUGUUGGUGGGGUAAUGGCCUACCAAGGCGACGACGGGUAGCCGGCCUGAGAGGGUGGACGGCCACACUGGGACUGAGACACGGCCCAGACUCCUACGGGAGGCAGCAGUGGGGAAUAUUGCACAAUGGGCGCAAGCCUGAUGCAGCGACGCCGCGUGAGGGAUGAAGGCCUUCGGGUUGUAAACCUCUUUCAGUAGGGAAGAAGCGAAAGUGACGGUACCUGCAGAAGAAGCGCCGGCUAACUACGUGCCAGCAGCCGCGGUAAUACGUAGGGCGCAAGCGUUAUCCGGAAUUAUUGGGCGUAAAGAGCUCGUAGGCGGUUUGUCGCGUCUGCCGUGAAAGUCCGGGGCUUAACUCCGGAUCUGCGGUGGGUACGGGCAGACUUGAGUGAUGUAGGGGAGACUGGAAUUCCUGGUGUAGCGGUGAAAUGCGCAGAUAUCAGGAG